GCAAGUCGAGGGGCAGCAUGAUUGAAGCUUGCUUCAAUUGAUGGCGACCGGCGCACGGGUGAGUAACGCGUAUCCAACCUUCCGUACACUCAGGGAUAGCCUUUCGAAAGAAAGAUUAAUACCUGAUGGUAUGAUGAGAUUGCAUGAUAGCAUCAUUAAAGAUUUAUCGGUGUACGAUGGGGAUGCGUUCCAUUAGGUAGUAGGCGGGGUAACGGCCCACCUAGCCUACGAUGGAUAGGGGCUCUGAGAGGAAGGUCCCCCACAUUGGAACUGAGACACGGUCCAAACUCCUACGGGAGGCAGCAGUGAGGAAUAUUGGUCAAUGGACGAGAGUCUGAACCAGCCAAGUAGCGUGAAGGAUGAAGGUCCUACGGAUUGUAAACUUCUUUUAUAAGGGAAUAAAACCUCCCACGUGUGGGAGCUUGUAUGUACCUUAUGAAUAAGCAUCGGCUAACUCCGUGCCAGCAGCCGCGGUAAUACGGAGGAUGCGAGCGUUAUCCGGAUUUAUUGGGUUUAAAGGGAGCGCAGACGGGUCGUUAAGUCAGCUGUGAAAGUUUGGGGCUCAACCUUAAAAUUGCAGUUGAUACUGGCGUCCUUGAGUGCGGUUGAGGUGUGCGGAAUUCGUGGUGUAGCGGUGAAAUGCUUAGAUAUCACGAAGAACUCCGAUUGCGAAGGCAGCACACUAAGCCGUAACUGACGUUCAUGCUCGAAAGUGUGGGUAUCAA
rnacentral:rRNA from 1 species